GACCCUUUAGCUCAGUGGUAGAGCGUUGCAUUCCAGUUCGUACUGAUCGCUCGUGCUUCGCAAAGGCCGUCCGUUCAAUCCGGGCAAGGGUCA